GAGCCRCRACGUUUUKUUCAGCAGAAUAGGACCCAUCUGUGGCUAUGAAGACAAAACAAUUUCACUGGAAUCAUCUUUGCUCAUGCUUUUGCCAUUGUUCAUCAUUGGCAUUGUGGCCUUUGUAGUCUUUGUGACAAUAAGGCUCUGCAAGAGAAGUAUGCGGGAAAGAAACUUGUCCAAUUUUCCAAAGACUUUGGCUUCAAWCCUAUCAAACCCACAUAACAAGAAUAUAAUGAACCUGCCAUGCGAGAUCAUAGCGCACAUAGAAYCAGCUACCACCACAUCCCAGAGCAUGUUGGAAACUUCAGAAGAGGAAGAGGAGGAACCGACCACUAGCGUUGGAUUUCCAGCUUACCUUCAAUACUCCAUUAGUUCUGGGCAGGUAGGAGAGAGCUUAUUGGACAGUAGAAGCCAAUUACGGUCUAAGCUUCUGGAGGUGACACAGCCAUGCUCUGUGCUGCUGUGUGGAGAUGACUCAGAGGAAUCAGACUCAAGGACAUUGGAGGUGGAGGACAUGGAUUUCACAGCCUCUGGCUAUGACAGUCAACACAUUCCUCUACUGGAGGUGGAGAUGAGUGCAGGAGAUGUAGUGGUGGGCUAUGGCCCCACCUGAGCACCUCUGAACUCAGGCCUCUGUAA